GACGAACGCUGGCGGCGUGCCUAAUACAUGCAAGUUGAACGCAACAAAGACACCAGAGCUUGCUCUACCGUUUUUGUUGAGUAGCGAACGGGUGAGUAACGCGUGGGUAACCUGCCUUAUAGCGGGGGAUAACUAUUGGAAACGAUAGCUAAUACCGCAUAACAAUAGAGAUUGCAUAAUCUUUAUUUGAAAGUGCCAACUGGUACACUAUGAGAUGGACCCGCGUUGUAUUAGCUAGUUGGUAGUGUAAUGGACUACCAAGGCGAUGAAACAUAGCCGACCUGAGAGGGUGAUCGGCCACAUU
rnacentral:rRNA from 1 species